CUAUGUGGUAUAUGUAUGUGUGCAUGUGUGUGUGUGUGUGUGUGUAUACAUAUACACAUACAUCUCCC
rnacentral:miRNA from 1 species